AGAUGGGGAGCAACCGAACCAACAGGGAAUAGAAGACAAUGAACAACAAGGCGGCGAGGGAGGCCAAGGAGAGGGAGAGCAAGUGAACCAGCACGGAAUGGAAGACAAUCAAGAACAUGGCGGCGAUGGAGGAGAAAUUGAGGGUGAAGAAAUUGAACUGGCAAGUAUUGGUGUGCAUCAUCCACAACAAGGCCAAGGAGAUGGAGAACAAUUAGACCAACAGGGCAUGGAAGACAUUGAACAACAUGGCGGCUUGGGAGG